AGCGGGCUGACAUUUUGUGCAGCUCCUCUUUGGCAGCCGGGCUCGAAAUAACAGCAAAGGAAGAUCUUUGACCCUGGCUGAUAUUGCAUAUAAUUAGAUAAACUUCUGAAAAUGCAGAGUUUUCACUGGCACAAUUUGGGAGAAGAAGAGGCAAGACAGAAGGAAACUUUUAAUAAAGAAAAGCACACGUAUUUGUUUAAAAACACUGCAUGGGAAAGAACAUUGCUUGUCUGGCUGAGUUCUAGUCCUGAAUCUGUUUGCUGUGACAUCCACUGUUAAAUCACUACCAGAUUAUCUUCACUAUUUAAGGAAAAGCUAAAAUCCACUUGUUUUAUCUCAGGGAAUUAGUCUGAGGGCUGUGAGGUUGAACUCAGUAUGUUCAGCUUGUAAAACUAGUGUCCUUUUCCAAAUUUUCUCUUCUUUAUGUUGAAGCUGUUACUGUUUGUAGCCAAAAAUUACUUGUUCUCCACCCCCAUUUCAGCACUGUUAUAUCUAUGCUCCUCAACCAUAACUAGCUGAAAUAACUCUAAUCACCUAUUUUUACUGUUUGAGUUAGGGAGGGUUCACAGGACUCAUUUUGCCAGAAGAGCUGAAAUGCUUGCAGAAAGGGAAAAGGGAAAGGGAUACAAACUCAGAGCUGCAAAAAAGCAGCUGAACACGAUAAUAUCAUCAGCUGGCAGAGGUGGCUGCACACUGAGCAUCUGUCUAUAGCCUAAAAUGACUUUUUUGUUCAGGGAUUUGUUUGCUUGUUGGUUGGAGUUUUGGUUUGUUGUACUGCAGGAUCACUCCUAACUGCUAAAACAAUUAAGAAAGAAACUUCAGAAAAGGAACACUAAGUCCUACGGUUUUUAAUUCCCUACUGGGUUUUGGGAAGAAGUAGUUUGUGACAAACAAGGAAGACAAACCUGGAUCUUUUGCUGCAUCCUACCUCCUGUUUAAGAAGAUUUGUGAUUCUACAUCUAAAUCCAACAACUUUCCAUGUGGCCCUGGUUCCCCCACAAAGCAGGACUGUGGCUCACCUGGAGCUCUGUUGGAUUGCUUGCAGCUGCUCAAAGAGCAGAACCGAGGCAUGUUCUCAGCUUGCUCUUCCUGCCUUGUGACUUCAAAGCACAGAACACUGCCUUACCUCCAACAGCCCUGUCUAACCUGACUCCAAAUGCUCCUCCACCCCCUGGAGCAGGGGACUCACUGAAUCAGUCCUUGCAGAUAAGUCCUUGCAGAUAAGGGUGCAAAGCAGUGACGACUCCAGCCUGCAGUGUUUCCAGAUGGGAAGAGCAGCACUGGCACUGAAGAGCCCUCCUGAGAGCUCCUGCCUGCUUUGGAGACUCUGGGACUUCAUGGAUGUCAGCUGAGCUCCAGAGAAACAUGUGGACUUUGUGAUGCUCUUCUGAACCCAGUACAAGUUCUGAACUAUUUAAGGUUUUUGUUCACUUGUCAUUUCUCAUUUCCUCUUUUAAAGAAAUCUUCAUUGCUUUAUUAAGAUACUGUUUAAAUCUCUUGGUGACUAAACUAUGUAUGAAAAUGAGUGAGCACGCCUUGGCCAGGUUUACAUGCUGCAGAAGGUGUGGCAGUUUAGAGAUGACAAGUCAAAACUAAAUAAACG
rnacentral:lncRNA from 1 species